rnacentral:rRNA from 1 species
UACAGAGGUCUCAAGCGUUGUUCGGAUUCAUUGGGCGUAAAGGGUGCGUAGGCGGCGCGGUAAGUCGGGUGUGAAAUCUUGGAGCUUAACUCCGAAACUGCAUUCGAUACUGCCGUGCUUGAGGACUGGAGAGGAGACUGGAAUUUACGGUGUAGCGGUGAAAUGCGUAGAUAUCGGAAGGAACACCAGUGGCGAAAGCGACUUCCUGGUCCAAUACUGACGUUCAUGUGCGAAAGCGUGGGGAGCAAACAGG